GAUGAACGCUAGCUACAGGCUUAACACAUGCAAGUCGAGGGGCAGCAUGAACUUAGCUUGCUAAGUUUGAUGGCGACCGGCGCACGGGUGAGUAACACGUAUCCAACCUGCCGAUGACUCGGGGAUAGCCUUUCGAAAGAAAGAUUAAUACCCGAUGGCAUAGUUCUUCCGCAUGGUAGAACUAUUAAAGAAUUUCGGUCAUCGAUGGGGAUGCGUUCCAUUAGGUUGUUGGCGGGGUAACGGCCCACCAAGCCUUCGAUGGAUAGGGGUUCUGAGAGGAAGGUCCCCCACAUUGGAACUGAGACACGGUCCAAACUCCUACGGGAGGCAGCAGUGAGGAAUAUUGGUCAAUGGACGAGAGUCUGAACCAGCCAAGUAGCGUGAAGGAUGACUGCCCUAUGGGUUGUAAACUUCUUUUAUACGGGAAUAAAGUGAGGCAUGUGUGCCUUUUUGUAUGUACCGUAUGAUAAGGAUCGGCUAACUCCGUGCCAGCAGCCG
rnacentral:rRNA from 1 species